GAGCAUGGCUCAGGACGAACGCUGGCGGCGUGCUUAACACAUGCAAGUCGAGCGGUAAGGCCCUUCGGGGUACACGAGCGGCGAACGGGUGAGUAACACGUGAGCAACCUGCCCCUGACUCUGGGAUAAGCGGUGGAAACGCCGUCUAAUACCGGAUACGACCUUCCGCCUCAUGGUGGAGGGUGGAAAGUUUUUUCGGUCAGGGAUGGGCUCGCGGCCUAUCAGCUUGUUGGUGGGGUAACGGCCUACCAAGGCGAUUACGGGUAGCCGGCCUGAGAGGGCGACCGGCCACACUGGGACUGAGACACGGCCCAGACGCCUCGUGCGGGAGGCAGCAGUGGGGAAUAUUGCGCAAUGGGCGAAAGCCUGACGCAGCGACGCCGCGUGGGGGAUGACGGCCU
rnacentral:rRNA from 1 species